AAAACAGAAAGCCAAACCGGUCAUGGGAGGCUAGUCAACGACUUGUGCAGCAGCCACGCUUGUGAGUUCUGUUUUCUGGCGGAAACGUUAGCGAUACAUUAACGCGGACGCCGCGGGAGUAGCACGACGGCCAGCCGGUAUUUUAAAAGAUGGGAGCGUACUUGUCGGAGCCGAUCACGAAGAAGGAAUCGAGCGACGAAGUGGGAAAGAAUGUCGCGUACGGCGCGAGCUCGAUGCAGGGCUGGCGGAUCAGUCAGGAGGAUGCUCACAAUUGUUGCAUAGAAUUUGACGAGAAUGUCUCGCUGUUUGCCGUAUACGACGGUCAUGGAGGACACGAGGUUGCGACGUAUUGCGCGCGCAACCUCCCCGAUUUUAUCAAACAGACAGAAGCUUACAAGAAAGGCGAUAUUAGGCAAGCUUUAAUAGACGCUUUCCUCGGUUUCGAUGAUACCCUUACGAAGCCGGAGGUAGUCAAUGUUCUCAAAGAGCUCGCGGGAACGUCCACGUCGGAGAAAAAGGAGGGUGACCUGACCGAAUCUGAUGAAGAAGAAAAUGUUAGUAAUCUGUGUAUGGAAGCGACGAUGCCGUUGGAGCAAGUAAUGGCAAAGUAUCAGUCAGAGGUGGCGAAUCCUCAUCUAAAAAAUCUGAAAGGCGAGAAGUGUGGUAAGCGCGCAUUCGCGAGUCCUUACUUGCGGGGUCGAAGAGGACGUGAGAAAACGAGCGGUUCGUCCUCUGGCGCGGGAUGCUCAUCGUCGCCGUCACCGCCAGCGACGUCAUCCUCGUCGUCCGCGUCCACGCCCGACUGGAAUACGAACGAAACGGACGUGAGUAGUUCCAGUCAGCCGUGCGGGUCGACUCUGUCCAGCACAGUGGAGCGAAAGGAUUCCGAUUGCCCGGGUAGCAACGAAGCUGAGCAAGUGCUGGAUUCGACGACGAGCAAUGGCAGCGCUCACGCGUCUCCACCGGUGGUGUCUACUGCGGAUGUAGAACCUGCUAAGUCUAUGGACAUGCCCGAUAGUUCCGAAGAUGUAAAAGAGAAAGUCUCGAGUCCCGGCAAGGCGCCACCGUGCGCGGAGUCUAAUGCGAACGAGGUGGAAGUUAAUGGCGCGGAGUCGAAGAGGAUCGGAGAUGCGGACAGCAGUAAGGGUGGAGGCGACAACGUGUCGAGCAGUUCUUGCACCCCUGUGGAAAACGGAGAUGCGGGUCAGCAAGAACGGAUAACUAGCAGUGGUCGAAGAAGAACUCAGCCUGUGGAUCUUUACCAAAGUCUACUGAAAAAGGACAACGACGACUCUGAAGAAGACGACGACGAUGACGAAAAUGAUGAGACCUUCGAUGGUGUUCCUGAAAGUGACGGAGACGAUACAGAAGAUAUUGAUGAGGAUGAAAGCGAUGAAGAUGACGAAGUCGAGGAGGAGGAGGAGGAGGAGGAUCUAGAAGACGAUUCAGACGAUGACACGGAUGAUCUAAUGAUAGAAAAGCCUGGUUCGGACAGUGGAUGCACGGCGGUUGUAGCGAUACUCAAGAACAAUGAACUGUACGUGGCCAAUGCUGGAGACUCUCGGUGUGUCCUAUGCAGGGAUGGUCAGGCGAUCGAACUUAGCUUGGACCAUAAGCCCGAAGACGCACCGGAAAUGGAACGUAUAGUAAAAGCAGGCGGAGAGGUGACGAGCGACGGCAGAGUGAAUGGCGGCCUCAAUCUUUCCAGAGCACUUGGCGAUCAUGCGUAUAAGCGAAACAUGGUAUUACCACCCCAAGAACAGAUGAUCUCCGCUCUACCGGACGUAAGGCAUAUUACGAUCGAUCCGGAGAAAGACGAAUUUAUGGUGCUCGCUUGUGAUGGCAUAUGGAAUUUCAUGACCAGUCAAAACGUCGUUCAGUUCGUGCGCAACCGUUUGUCACAAAAUUACGAGAACAUUUCGAAAAUCUGCGAAGAGUUAUUUGAUCAUUGCCUUGCACCGGAUACUCUCGGCGACGGAACGGGCUGCGACAACAUGACUGCCGUAAUAGUUAAGUUUAAAUCGCCGGCAACCGAAACUGUUAAAAAUAACACCGUUGCCGAGGUAUGCGUUACGAAGAAGCGAUCGGUCUCGCCAGCCGCUGAGGAAAAUAACGACUGUAUCCCGGGAGAAAACACGGUAAACCCCUGCAAACGCGCCAAGACCGAGGCAGCUAUGUGAAUUAGGAGUCACCAUGCGUCAUGAACUGAUCUCCGGGAGCGGACGAGUGAAUAUAUCUACUCGUGCCUACGUGUACAUCAAGCUCCUCCAUCCGAUAUCUACCCAACAUGAACACGAACUAAGAGAGCGCGUGUUAAGCACGGAGACUGUCUCUGUAGAACUUUGGUCUAAGAACAUAAUGCGAUUGGACUUAUAAAUUAAUAUUAUUAAUCUGAUGUGGCGCUAACCGCCAACACUCGUCGUCGUGUACAUCUACAACUUUCUAAGUUCACGUUACGGUUAACGUACAUAAAUCGUAAAUAGGCAAUACUUGAACAAAUAAAGACCUACUGUCAUAUUUUUUACAGUUAAGACUCUUUCACGUUGCAUGAAGAUUCCUGUUUCGAUCGUAAUACGGAAAUAGCAGAAUCUUUGUGUUUUUAUCGUAGAGAUUCAUACGAAACUGCAUUAAAAUUCUGUGAGGCAAACAUUGUAGAUGAUAGAAAUGUGAAUCGACCCAGUGACACCUUCGCGACAAUUGUGACAUUUUCCACUAAUAUAUAUUCUUCUGUCGACACUCAUGUGUAAUCGCAGUCGUUAGUAGACAGUAAUUUUCAUCGAAGAAAUUGUUUGUAGUUAAAUGCAAAAGCAAUCACAAUACUCUUAUGUAAACACCGUUUGCAAGAUGAUCAGUAGUGUAUAGAUACUAGAUACUAGAUAAGCGUAUCUAGUAUCAUUCAGAAAGAACUGACGUGCCUUUCCAAUUCAGGGGUUGACAACCUCCUCAACAUGUGUAUUGUACAUUCGAUUCCGUCUCAAGAAGAAAGGUUUGCGCCCCAUGUACUGUCUUUAGCUGCAAACUCCGUCAUACACUUAUGUAUAAUAAUAUCUUGUUUCAUAAUACAUGUGUCGCUCGAAUCAAUCUUAA